GAGUUUGAUCAUGGCUCAGAACGAACGCUGGCGGCAUGCCUAAUACAUGCAAGUCGAACGAACACUUCGGUGUUAGUGGCGCACGGGUGCGUAACGCGUGGGAAUCUACCCUUGGGUUCGGAAUAACAGUUGGAAACGACUGCUAAUACCGGAUGAUGACGAAAGUCCAAAGAUUUAUCGCCCAGGGAUGAGCCCGCGUAGGAUUAGCUAGUUGGUGAGGUAAAGGCUCACCAAGGCUACGAUCCUUAGCUGGUCUGAGAGGAUGAUCAGCCACACUGGGACUGAGACACGGCCCAGACUCCUACGGGAGGCAGCAGUAGGGAAUAUUGGACAAUGGGCGAAAGCCUGAUCCAGCAAUGCCGCGUGAGCGAUGAAGGCCUUAGGGUUGUAAAGCUCUUUUACCCGGGAUGAUAAUGACAGUACCGGGAGAAUAAGCCCCGGCUAACUCCGUGC
rnacentral:rRNA from 1 species